UACGGAGGGUGCAAGCGUUAAUCGGAAUUACUGGGCGUAAAGCGUGCGUAGACGGUUAUGUAAGUCAGAUGUGAAAGCCCCGGGCUCAACCUGGGAAUUGCAUUUGAGACUGCAUAGCUAGGGUGCGGAAGAGGGAAGCGGAAUUUCCGGUGUAGCGGUGAAAUGCGUAGAUAUCGGAAGGAACACCAGUGGCGAAAGCGGCUUCCUGGUCCAGCACCGACGUCAGGCACGAAAGCGUGGGGAGCAAACAGG
rnacentral:rRNA from 1 species